rnacentral:rRNA from 1 species
CCUACGGGCGACAGCAGUCGAGAAUCAUUCACAAUGGGGGAAACCCUGAUGGUGCGACGCCGCGUGGGGGAAUGAAGGUCUUCGGAUUGUAAACCCCUGUCAUGUGGGAGCAAAUUAAAAAGAUAGUACCACAAGAGGAAGAGACGGCUAACUCUGUGCCAGCAGCCGCGGUAAUACAGAGGUCUCAAGCGUGGUUCGGAAUCACUGGGCGUAAAGGGUGCGUAGGCUGUUUCGUAAGUCGUGUGUGAAAGGCGCGGGCUCAACCCGCGGACGGCACAUGAUACUGCGAGACUAGAGUAAUGGAGGGGGAACCGGAAUUCUCGGUGUAGCAGUGAAAUGCGUAGAUAUCGAGAGGAACACUCGUGGCGAAGGCGGGUUCCUGGACAUUAACUGACGCUGAGGCACGAAGGCCAGGGGAGCGAAAGGGAUUAGAUACCCCGGUAGUC